ensembl:lncRNA
GCUUUUCAUUAAUUAAUUAAUUAAUCUAAAGUUCAGAGCAAUUGAAUUUAUUUAAAAUAGUAACGAAUGAAUUUUUAUUUUAAAAUAAGAAAAGUGGGGCCGGCGCUGUGGCACAGCGGGUUAACACCCUCGCCUGAAGUGCCGGCAUCCCAUAUAGACACUGGUUAUACUCCCAGCUGCUCCUCUUCUGAUCCAGCUCUCUGCUAUGGUCUGAGAAAGCAGUAGAAGAUGGCCCAAGUCCUUGGGACCCUGUAUCCAUGUGGGAGACCCAGAAGAAGCUUCUGGCUCCUGGCUUCACAUGAGCACAGCUCCGACUAUUAUGGCCAUCUGGGGAAUGAACCAGAGGAUGGAAGACCUCUCUCGGUUUCUACCUCUCUUUGUAACUCUGAUUUUUUUUUCUUCAUUAACAAAUCUUUUUAUUAUUAUUAUGAGGAGAGAUAAAAACAGCAAAGCGCAGAUCAUGUACAGGAGCUGCAGCCAGGGGGCGCCCCAGGCCACGUGGGGGCUGCCCAGCUCCAAGGCACAGCUCCCCAGGAUGGGGAGCGAGCCUGUCAGUGGCAGAGGGCGAUGGUCUCCAUGUUGAGGAAGCGGAAGUGCAUUUUGGUCUCGAUGUUGAUGCCCUGCCAGAUCUUCAGGAAGUCCUCGAAGGUGAUUCCCUUCUACACUUGAUCGGGCUCCAUCUGCCCCACACACACGCUGGCUGCCUUCAUCAUGGCCCCGUCGGCUUCUCGAUGUGGGGGUUCCCCGAGAGCAGCUCCUCCGCCACAUCUCAGCUUCUCCUUCCGGGACAGUUCCACCUGCUCCUCGCCCAGGGUGGUGUCGAAGGGCCGGAAGUAGGACAUGAUGGUCAGGAAGUCCUCAAAGUUGAUCUCGGCCAUGCCGCUGGGCCCCUUACGCAGGUUCCUGUUGUCGAAGAAGGCACGGACGAUCUUGGAGCGGAUGGGGUUGAGCUCCAGGUCGGGGACACUGUUGAAGUUCUCCUUGCGGAUGAACUAAAUGAAAUAAAUCUUUUAAAAAAAAUUAAAAAUAAGAAAACUAUAAUUAUCCAGAAUUUGCCUUACAGUUAUUGAUGUGUAGCCUGGUUUCUAUUUUCAGUAUUUUGCUUAUGAUGGUUUUCUAAGACUUAAAAUUGCAGUCAAAUUAAUUGAAUAUAUUUUCAAAUAUAACAUAAAUGUAUAUUGGUAUGGUUUAAAACAGUUAAUGUGAAUAUUUAAGUCUCUAGUUGGUGUCAUUGACAUUUAUAAUAACUCAGAAGUUGAAGUUUGUAACUUUCGACGUGAUUGAACUUACAGACUGUAGUAAUCAGCUUUCAGUUACCACAACUAAAAUUUCUGAGAGGAGCUCUUUUGGAUGAAAGAAAGUUUAUUUCAGCAUACAGUUUUGGAGGCUCAUAGUCCUAUAUCAAGUGGUCCCACUGGUUGAUGAAGCUGGUGAAGCUGAAGCAUGGCACAGUGACUAUCAGAUGGUGAGGCAGGAAGAAAGGGGCAGGGAGCACUGUUGACUUACAUAGAUACCCUCUUGAGAAAAUUACCUUCCCAGGGAAAGCCACCAUUGGCCUAAACACCUGCCCCUAGGCCCACCCACGGACACCAUAAGUAGACCAAGUAUCCAUUCUUCAUUAACCAUUCACAUCAAUUCCUUAACUGUUAACAUCAGACUUUGAAGUUUAAAAUUAUGAGUGAUGAUUUGGAGAAUCAAAUCCUGUUCCCCCUAUAGCAUAGAAAAAAUCCCAGUGAGGAAGGAAUAACAAAAAGUGAAUCAAUUUCUGCUGAUUCUGUGCACAAUUUCUGCUGAUAAUUUGUUGGCUCUGAAGAUGAACAGGCUCAGAGAGAGACUCCUGCAAUCUGUACAGAAUGUACCAACUGGGAUACCAAAGAGCUGCUCAGGGAGUUCAGCAGCAGUGCAAUACCAAGGAGGAUGAGGAUGGAGGGCAAGACCUAGUGGGACUAGGGACAGUAUUGCAGGUAAGACUUCAGAGGGGCAUGGGCAGGGGGUAAGAACUGUGAACUAGUAGCAAAGCUAAGGUUGGGGAAAUUCCGUAAGGGCAGGUGUUGUAGGGCAGUGGGUUAAACAAUUGCUUGCAGCAGCCACACCCAAUGUCACAGUGCCAGUUAGAGUUUUGGCUCUUCUCCCUCUGAUCUAGCUUCCUGCUAAUGCACCUGGGAAGGCAGCAGAUGAUAGCCCAAGUUCUUGGGAAUCUGCCACCCAAUGGGAGACCUGGAUGGAGUUCCUGGCUUUUGGGUUCAACCUGAUACCCAGCCCCUACUAUCACAAGCAUUUGGAGAGUAUGCCUGUGGAUUGAUGAGCUUUCCUGCCCAGACUGUCAUUCUGCCUUUUAAGUAAUAAAUAAAUAAAUCUUUACA